AAGGCGCUGCCCGGCGCGUCAGGACGACAUUCCCCGGGGCCGUAUCUCACAGAACGGGAGCCGCCUCUGGCGGGGACCGUGGUCCCCAUCAAGCGGCGCCCACCUGGUCCUUAGGGUCCAGGGCGAAUAAGAGUCCGACGGCCAGGGCGGCGCCUGU
rnacentral:other from 1 species